rfam:Gorilla gorilla gorilla genomic chromosome, chr7, whole genome shotgun sequence
GCCAGGUGUGGUGGCUCACGCCUGUAAUCCCAGCAUUUGGGAGGCUGAGGUGGGCGGAUCACUUGAGGUCAGGAGUUCAAGACCAGCCUGGCCAACAUGGUGAAACCCCAUCUCUA